rnacentral:rRNA from 1 species
UACGUAGGGUGCGAGCGUUAAUCGGAAUUACUGGGCGUAAAGCGUGCGCAGGCGGUUUUGUAAGCCAGAUGUGAAAUCCCCGGGCUUAACCUGGGAAUGGCAUUUGGGACUGCAAGGCUGGAGUGUGGCAGAGGAGACUGGAAUUCCUGGUGUAGCAGUGAAAUGCGUAGAUAUCAGGAGGAAUACCGAUGGCGAAGGCAGGUCUCUGGGCUGACACUGACGCUCAUGCACGAAAGCGUGGGGAGCGAAACA